rnacentral:lncRNA from 1 species
ACGGAUAUAAACAAGCACCUCAAGCAAGCACGUCGGGAAACCCUAAGCACCUCCCGAAAGUGACUCGUUCCCGACUCGCUAAUCACACUGUCUGCUUUAUUUCUGGAUAUGUCCGUUUCUUUAUUUAAGUUUUCUAUGAUUCAGUUAUUAGCAGAUUAGAGUUAAGCUAGCACCUCCCCUAAUACCCCUUACUCUAGGAAUGAAAUAGCCUAACGAUGGCACUACUCUACCUAUGGGUUUGAGGAUGUUACAAC